ensembl:lncRNA
AUGCGUCCGUCCCCGCGCCGGCGGGCGGCCGCCUGGCUGCUGGCGCUGCCGUCGGGGCGCGGCGGGGAGGAGUGCGCGCGGCGCGGCCGCCUGGAGAUGAUCUCGUUCUGGCUGCUGUGCUGGAAGCUGCUGAGAGCAACAGCUGGGCUAAGGAGGACGCCAGCUGAGCUAACCGAUGGUAACCCCGACAACGAUAACUAUAACGACUCCGCCCGUCCAGGACAGCCAUCAGAUCCAGUUACCAUGGAGAGCAGUUCAUCUCCACCGGCAACACACACGGAUAGUGAAAACUCGGGGCAAAGCCUUUGGGGCGACCAGGAAGCGGAGGAGCACCAUUACACAGAGGUCCAUGGGCUGAAGCAGCCAAUCGGGGACGAGCAGGACGAAGAAGAGGCUGCAGGGAAAGAAAAUGUCGUCAGGGAUGCAGAUGAGUGUGAUUACCUUGUGUUUGCAAUCGGAGAGCGAAAUGGGAAUGAUAAAGGAGAUGAAAGUGGACAGGACACGGGUAGAGGAGGAGAUAAGGUAGAAGAUGGAGAAAGAGGGGAAACAGAAGGAAAGGAAGAAGGAAGUGGAGCUACAGUGAGGGAAGAUGGAGGAAGAGGAGGUGAAAAAGAAGAGGAUGAAUGCAUAGGAGAGACAGUGGGCGAGAUGAGUAAUGAUGCUCCGUCAAAGCUCCUCCUCAUCUCUUGCAGCCCGGAGCGUCUUUCAUCAUCAGAGCCCCUGAUGGUCCCCUCAUGUCCCUCAGAGCAGCCCAUGGAGGCCAUGUUGCAAGAGGCCUUAGGUCACAACAUUGGCGAAAGAGAUGACCUCAGUGACGUCCAGCACACAGGCUUCCCCCAAGCUGAGCUGGCUAGUGUGUACUCGGACAGCGACGCAGGGGACGGCCAGUGGGCUAGCUUUGCACGCUGUGAUGUCACCAACCAGGAAGAAGCAGGCGGAGGAAUUCACAAUACCACCUGUGAAGGAGAGAGCAAGGAAGAGGAGGGAGGAGGAGCCGAUAAGGGGAGAGCCGAAGAACAGUUUGAGGCAGAAGAAGCGAGUGAAACACAGGACCAAAGGGAGGAGGAGGAGGAGGAGGAGGAGGAGAAGGAGGAGGAGGAGGGGAGCAGACACGUGGAUGAUGAAGAGCAGAUGACGUCCAGGAGAGAUCUAUUUCCACGCACACCUUCUGUCAGCUCCACGGGCAGCUCCACAGAGCCUGACAGAAAGGCUCCCGUGGAUCUCUGUGUCCAAGAAGAGGCCCACAGUGGAAACGUCUCCACUGAGCAUGUGGACUUUCUGUUGGCCCGACAGCAGUGGAGGAAGAUGGAGGAGGAGGUCAAAGGUCAGCCAAUCCCCAAACCAGGCCUCAGAGCUCAGGGGAGCUUCCAGGGCACCCACAGCUCCCUGUACCCGCCCACUCGCAGCCCCCGACUCAAACACAGGGAGAUCCAUCCUGCAGCGGCCAUGGAGCCCACGCUGUCCUCCACCCUGUCCUCCACCCUGUCCCCCGGCUCGGAGAGGGAGGAAUGCCACCGGAGAGAGAGGGGGGGGGUCACACAGGGCCUCACCGUACCCAGAGCCUCCACCGGGCAGAGCGGACGAUCUCCCCCCAGACCUCCAGCGUGCCGCACCCCUACACUGUCCAUCUCCCCUUCUCCUUCCUCUUCCCUUCCCCGAUCUGUCUACCAUGAGAUGACGGCCAAUAAUGUCAUUAUCCUGGAGCCCGGCUGCUCCGGCUCCACCUCCAGAAACCUCUUACUCUCCUCCGCCACCGAUUGGCCGCUUAGCCAGGAUGCUGUGCCCUCCGCCAACGUCAUCGUCGUUGAGACCUCUAACGUGAUCAUUCGCAGCGCAUCCGAAUUCUGUCUAAGCUCCGCCCCCGUGUCCGCGGAGACCCAGGAGAGCACCUUCUCGUCCAAUCCGUUCUUUAAGCUACGCUCAAUCAGCAGCCAAUCGCUGGUGGAGCGGGAGAUCCGCAUGGUGAGGCAGAGGGAGGAGGAAUGGAGGAGGCAGCGGGAGGAGAUGUGGAGGAGGAGGAGGGAGGAGGAGUGGAGGAGAGGGAGAGAGAGGUACGACACCGUGCUGGUGUCUCCUGGCCUGAGCGAUAACAUCAGCUACAACGUGCCAGAGGUCCUAGAUAGAUGUGUGUCCUCUCCUUCGUCCCCCUCCAGGACCCGCAAAAUGGAAAGAUCCAGCAUGUCUUGUGACCACAAGUUCCCCUCAUCCCUCUCUCUGACGCCGAAGCGACCGAACGCCAUGGCGCAGCGAUGGGAGGCCUCCCUAUUAGCCAAUCAGAAGAAGGAGUGACCAUUUCAAAGCCCACAAUGAGAUCCGACGCCUCCGUUCCUUCCUGCUUCUCUCCAGAAAAGUCACACGGUGUACUGUAAGGUCUUUGAAAAGGUGUGGCUUGAACCCGUGGGUCACAGAUGUGCUGUCUGCGGGACGUCCUGUGAGAAGAGGAAUGGUCCUGUCCAACAGCUUUGUUUCAAAGA